GACGAACGCUGGCGGCGCGUCUAAGACAUGCAAGUCGUGCGGAGGGGAGUAAUCCCCUUAGCGGCGAACGGGUGAGUAACACGUAGCUAACCUGCCCUUUGGACCGGGAUAACGGGACGAAAGUCCCGCUAAUACUGGAUACGCUCUGCGGAGGAAAGCGGGGGAUCGUAAGACCUCGCGCUGAAGGAGGGGGCUGCGGCCUAUUAGCUUGUUGGUGGGGUAACGGCCCACCAAGGCGAAGAUGGGUAGCUGAUCUGAGAGGAUGAUCAGCCACACUGGGACUGAGAUACGGCCCAGACUCCUACGGGAGGCAGCAGUUAAGAAUCUUGCGCAAUGGGCGAAAGCCUGACGCAGCGACGCCGCGUGGAGAUGAC
rnacentral:rRNA from 1 species